AAAGUCCCUCGCAAUUUCCGACUGUUGGAAGAACUCGAAGAAGGCCAGAAAGGAGUAGGAGAUGGCACAGUUAGCUGGGGUCUAGAAGAUGACGAAGACAUGACACUUACAAGAUGGACAGGGAUGAUAAUUGGGCCUCCAAGAACAAUUUAUGAAAACCGAAUAUACAGCCUUAAAAUAGAAUGUGGACCUAAAUACCCAGAAGCACCCCCCUUUGUAAGAUUUGUAACAAAAAUUAAUAUGAAUGGAGUAAAUAGUUCUAAUGGAGUGGUGGACCCAAGAGCCAUAUCAGUGCUAGCAAAAUGGCAGAAUUCAUAUAGCAUCAAAGUUGUCCUGCAAGAGCUUCGGCGCCUAAUGAUGUCUAAAGAAAAUAUGAAACUCCCUCAGCCGCCCGAAGGACAGUGUUACAGCAAUUAAUCAAAAAGAAAAACCACAGGCCCUUCCCCUUCCCCCCAAUUCGAUUUAAUCAGUCUUCAUUUUCCACAGUAGUAAAUUUUCUAGAUACGUCUUGUAGACCUCAAAGUACCGGAAAGGAAGCUCCCAUUCAAAGGAAAUUUAUCUUAAGAUACUGUAAAUGAUACUAAUUUUUUGUCCAUUUGAAAUAUAUAAGUUGUGCUAUAACAAAUCAUCCUGUCAAGUGUAACCACUGUCCACGUAGUUGAACUUCUGGGAUCAAGAAAGUCUAUUUAAAUUGAUUCCCAUCAUAACUGGUGGGGCACAUCUAACUCAACUGUGAAAAGACACAUCACACAAUCACCUUGCUGCUGAUUACACGGCCUGGGGUCUCUGCCUUCUCC
rnacentral:lncRNA from 1 species